rnacentral:lncRNA from 1 species
UCAUUUGGUGGGUUUCGAGUGAAAUCCAAUCUCUAGAACUAUACAAUACACCAACCCCCCCAUUUCAGAACGAACUUCGUAGGAACCUGAAUUGUCCGAUUUCAAGGACCAAUCGAUAUCGGAUUGAGUCCAAAACUUGGGGAACAUCAUAAUAUUGUGGGAGGAGUCAUUUGGUGGGUUUUGAGUGAAAUCCAAUCUAUAGAACUAUACAAUACACCAACCACCCCAUUUAUGAACGAACUUCAUACGAACCUGAAUUGUCCGAUUUGAAGGACCAAUCGAUAUCGGAUUCAGUCCAAAACUUGGGGAACAUCAUAAUACUGUGGGAGGACUCAUUUGGUGGGUUUUGAGUGAAAUCCAAUCUCUACAACUAUACAACACAACAACCACCCCAGUUCAGAACGAACUUCGUACGAACCUGAAUUGACCGAUUUCAAGGACCAAUCGAUAUCGGAUUGAGUCCAAAACUUGGGGAACAUCGUAAUCUUGUGGGAGGAGUCAUUUGGUAUGUUUCGAGUGAAAUUCAAUCUCUAGAACUAUACAAUACACUAACCCCCCCAUUUCAGAACGAACUUCGUACGAACCUGAAUUGUCCGAUUUCAAGGACCAAUCGAUAUCGGAUUGAGUCCAAAAUUUGGGGAACAUCAUAAUAUUGUGGGAGGAGUCAUUUGGUGGGUUUUGAGUGAAAUACAAUCCCUAGAACUAUACAAUACACCAACGACUCCAUUUCAUUACGAACUUCGUACGAACCUGAAUUGUCAAAUUUCGUGGACCGAUCGAUGUCGGAUUGAGUCCAAAACUUGGGGAACAUCAUAAUAUUGUGGGAGGAGUCAUUUGGUGGGUUUUGAGUGAAAUACAAUCCCUAGAACCAUACAAUACACCAACGACUCCAUUUCAUUACGAACUUCGUACGAACCUGAAUUGUCAAAUUUCGUGGACCGAUUGAUGUCGGAUUGAGUCCAAAACUUGGGGAACAUCAUAAUAGUGUGGGAGGAGUCAUUUGGUGGGUUUUGAGUGAAAUACAAUCCCUAGAACUAUACUAUACAACAACCACUCCAUUUCAGAACGAACAUCGUACGAACAUGAAUUGUCAAAUUUCGUGGACUGAUCGAUAUCGGAUUGAGUCCAAAACUUGGGGAACAUCAUAAUAGUGUGGGAGGAGUCAUUUGGUGAGUUUUGAGUGAAAUACAAUCCCUAGAACUAUACAAUACACCAACCACUCCAUUUUAGAACGAACUUCAUACGAACUUGAAUUAUCAAAUUUCGUGUGACCGAUCGAUAUCGGAUUGAGUCCAAAACUUGGGGAACAUCAUAAUAUUGUGGGAGGAGUCAUUUUGGUGGGUUUUGAGUGAAAUCCGAUCACUAGAACUAUACAAUACACCAACCACUCCAUUUUAGAACGAACUUCGUACGAACUUGAAUUGCCUGAUUUCAUUGGCCAAUCGAUAUCGGAUUGAGUUCAAAACUUGGGGAACAACAUAAUAUUGUGGGAGGAGGCAUUUGGUGGGUUUUGAGUGAAAUACAACCCCUAGAACUAUACAAUACACCAACCACUCCAGUUUAGAACGAACUUCGUACGAACUUGAACUGUCAAAUUUCGUGGAUCGAUCGAUAUCGGAUUGAGUCCAAAACAUGGGGAACAUCAUCAUAUUGUGGGAGGAGCCAUUUGGUAGGUUUUGAGUGAAAUCCAAUCUCUAGAACUAUACAAUACACCAACCACCCCAUUUCAGAACGAACUUCGUACGAACCUGAAUUGUCCGAUUUCAAGGACCAAUUGAUAUCGGAUUGAGUCCAAAACUUGGGGAACAUCAUAAUAUUGUGGGAGGACUCAUUUGGUAUGUUUUGAGUGAAAUCCAGUAUCUAGAACUAUACAAUACACCAACCACUCCAUUUUUGAACGAACUUCAUACAAAACUUGAAUUGUCAAAUUUCGUGGCUCCCCUCUCCUAUCGGAUUGAGUCCAAACCCUGCCCCCCCAACAUCAUAUUGUGGGAGGAGCCGUUUGGUAGGUUUUGAGUGAAAUCCAAUCUCUAGAACUAUGCAAUACACCAACCACCCCAUUUCAGAACGAACUUCGUACGAACCUGAAUUGUCCGAUUUCAAGGACCAAUCGAUAUGGGAUUGAUUCCAAAACUUGGGGAACAUCAUAAUAUUGUGGGAGGACUCAUUUGGUGGGUUUUGAGUGAAGUCCAAUCUGUAGAACUACACAAUACAGCAACCACCCCAUUUAUGAACGAACUUCGUACGAACCUGAAUUGUCCGAUUUGAAGGACCAAUCGAUAUCGGAUUCAG